rnacentral:rRNA from 1 species
GUGGGGAAUAUUGGGCAAUGGGGGAAACCCUGACCCAGCAACGCCGCGUGAAGGAAGAAGGCUUUCGGGUUGUAAACUUCUUUGACAGGGGACGAAAGCAAUGACGGUACCCUGAAAACAAGCCACGGCUAACUACGUGCCAGCAGCCGCGGUAAUACGUAGGGGACGAGCGUUGUCCGGAUUUAUUGGGUUUAAAGGGAGCGUAGGCGGGGGUUUAAGUCAGCUGUGAAAUGCCGUGGCCCAACCAUGGAACUGCAGUUGAAACUGGACCUCUUGAGAGUACAUAAGGAAGGCGGAAUUCGUGGUGUAGCGGUGAAAUGCAUAGAUAUCACGAAGAACUCCGAUUGCGAAGGCAGCUUUCCGGGGUACAUCUGACGCUGAAGCUCGAAAGUGCGGGAAUCAAACAGGAUUAGAUACCCCGGUAGUCC